rnacentral:rRNA from 1 species
AGCUCCAAUAGCAUAUACCAAUUCUGUUGCUGUUAAAAAGCUCGUAGUUGGAUCGAUUCCAAAGAACUUCUCUGUCUGAGUGACAUGUAGGAGUCUCUGAGGAUGCUUUCGCUGGUUUUCCCUUGGUGCUCUUCACCGGGUGCCUUGGGUGGCUAGCAUGUUUACUUUGAAAAAAUUAGAGUGCUCAAAACAGGCGUUACUGCCCGAAUAGUGGUGCAUGGAAUAAUGGAAUAGGAUCUCGGUUCUAUUUUGUUGGUUUUAGGGACACGAGAUAAUGAUUAAGAGGGACAGACGGGGGCAUUUGUACUGCGGCGUUAGAGGUGAAAUUCUUGGAUCGCCGCAUGACGAACAAUUGCGAAAGCAUUUGCCAAGAAUGUUUUCAUUAAUCAAGAACGAAAGU